rnacentral:misc_RNA from 1 species
CCAAGCUUUGACCCACUCUGAGUAGUAUGCAAUAGGACCAAUCUUUUCCAUUUUUUCUUUUUCAGCCUGUAGCCUUUCCUCCUUAUAUAAAUGUCUCCUUGCUCUAUAGAGCGCAGUCUCUGUCAAUGUAGGAUGCUCACCAUAGAGCUUUACUUGUCCUGUCUCUGCCAUAGCUUUAAGAAAGACCGUUUCAACAUCAGGGCGCCGCCUCUGCCACCUAGACCAUUGCUCCUUUUCAGGCUUUCUCCAAUUCCACCAUAAUUCUUCACUAGUAAGCGGCUUCUCUAUUUCCUUCUUUACCUUUGGAUCAAUAAAUGGGUGGG